rnacentral:rRNA from 1 species
GACGAACGCUGGCGGCGUGCUUAACACAUGCAAGUCGAACGGAGUGGCGAACGGGUGAGAAACACGUGGGUGAUCUGCCUUGCACUUGGGGAUAAGCUUGGGAAACUGGGUGUAAUACCGGAUAGUGCAUGAUAGGCUCGCGGCCUAUAAGCUUGUGGGUGGGGUAAUGGCCUACCAAGGGGUCGACGGGUAGCCGGCAUGUGAGGGUGUACGGGCACAUUAGGACUGAGAUACGGAGCAGACUCCUACGGUGGGCAGCAGGGGGGAAUAUUACGCAAUGGGGGGACGCCUGAGGCAGCGACUCCGCGUGGGGGAUGAAGGCCUUCGGGUUGUAAACUCCUUUCGACAGAGACGCGGUACCUGUAUAAGAAGCACCGGCUAACUACGUGCCAGCAGCCGCGGUAAUUC